GGAAUUUUAGUAUUUUUAUUUGGAAUUAUUUGGAAAAUGAUGAAAUAUUGACAUUUGGGCCUAGAGUGGUGAUUAGCAGAAGAGGGGGUGUUGACUAAGCAAGCCCAUUAUAAUAAUUAUUUUAUUUUUCAUAAAAUAAGGAAUUUGGGGAAAAGAGGAAGGAGAAGCAGGAACUGAGUCUGAAGAAAGGAGAACACGUGAAAGUGAGAAGAGCCAAAGGGGAAGAGAACUUCGAAGAUUCGACUCUGAGAUUAAGGAUGUAGCGGCGUCUUGAUUGGGUGAAGAUAGCUUAUAGGCUAGCCCUUAGUCCGUGUCGAGUCAUGCUCUGAAUGUAACACUGGGGAACGCUAGUUUAGAGACGAGUUAUUAUGUCGGUCUUUGUUGUUUAUAAUUGUAUUAGAGAACUUGCAUGAAUGAUGAUGAUUAUGCAAUGUUAUGAAUUAUAAUCCGCUGUGUUGAACAUGAAUUGUAUUUAUGUUAAAUGGUUCCUCGUGUGGCAUGACAAAUGACUAUAGUAUUUUAUGUUAAAGAAGUUGUGA